AGCGAACGCUGGCGGCAGGCCUAACACAUGCAAGUCGAACGAACUCUUCGGAGUUAGUGGCGGACGGGUGAGUAACACGUGGGAACGUGCCCUUAGGUUCGGAAUAACUCAGGGAAACUUGUGCUAAUACCGAAUGUGCCCUUCGGGGGAAAGAUUUAUCGCCUUUAGAGCGGCCCGCGUCUGAUUAGCUAGUUGGUGAGGUAAAGGCUCACCAAGGCGACGAUCAGUAGCUGGUCUGAGAGGAUGAUCAGCCACAUUGGGACUGAGACACGGCCCAAACUCCUACGGGAGGCAGCAGUGGGGAAUCUUGCGCAAUGGGCGAAAGCAUGACGCAGCCAUGCCGCGUGAAUGAUGAAGGUCUUAGGAUUGUAAAAUUCUUUCACCGGGGACGAUAAUGACGGUACCCGGAGAAGAAGCCCCGGCUAACUUCGUG
rnacentral:rRNA from 1 species